GCGUUGUUCGGAAUUACUGGGCGUAAAGCGCGCGUAGGCGGCUUUGUAAGUUAGAGGUGAAAGCCCGGAGCUCAACUCCGGAAUUGCCUUUAAGACUGCAUCGCUAGAAUCAUGGAGAGGUGAGUGGAAUUCCGAGUGUAGAGGUGAAAUUCGUAGAUAUUCGGAAGAACACCAGUGGCGAAGGCGACUCACUGGACAUGUAUUGACGCUGAGGUGCGAAAGCGUG
rnacentral:rRNA from 1 species